rnacentral:rRNA from 1 species
UACGGGAGGCAGCAGUGGGGAAUAUUGCACAAUGGGCGAAAGCCUGAUGCAGCUAUGCCGCGUGUAUGAAGAAGGCCUUCGGGUUGUAAAGUACUUUCAGUCGUGAGGAAGGUGUUAAGGUUAAUAACCUUAGCAAUUGACGUUAGCGACAGAAGAAGCACCGGCUAACUCCGUGCCAGCAGCCGCGGUAAUACGGAGGGUGCGAGCGUUAAUCGGAAUUACUGGGCGUAAAGGGCACGCAGGCGGUUAAUUAAGUUGGAUGUGAAAUCCCCGGGCUUAACCUGGGAAUGGCAUUCAAGACUGGUUAGCUAGAGUCUUGUAGAGGGGGUUAGAAUUCCAUGUGUAGCGGUGAAAUGCGUAGAGAUGUGGAGGAAUACCGGUGGCGAAGGCGGCCCCCUGGACAAAGACUGACGCUCAUGUGCGAAAGCGUGGGGAGCAAACAGGGAUUAGAUACC